rfam:Gorilla gorilla gorilla genomic chromosome, chr3, whole genome shotgun sequence
GCCGGGCGUGGUGGCUCACGCCUGUAAUCCCAGCACUUUGGGAGGCUGAGGUGGGCAGAUCACCUGAGGUCAGGAGUUCGAGACCAGCCUGGCCAACAUGGUGAAACCCCAUCUCUA